rnacentral:rRNA from 1 species
GACAGAGGUCCCGAGCGUUGUUCGGAUUCAUUGGGCGUAAAGGGUGUGUAGGAGGUUGGGUAAGUCAGGUGUGAAAUCUCGGAGCUUAACUCUGAAACUGCGCUUGAUACUGCCCGGCUAGAGGAUCGGAGGGGGUGACGGAAUUCAUGGUGUAGCAGUGAAAUGCGUAGAUAUCAUGAGGAACACCGGUGGCGAAGGCGGUUACCUGGAAGAUUCCUGACUCUGAAACACGAAAGCCAGGGGAGCAAACGGG